rnacentral:lncRNA from 1 species
GGCUCAUCGAUUUCACUGGUUGGUCUAUGGCCGCUAAUGUCCCUAUGAAAACGACACGGGACAUUGUCUACAUUCUCCAGAAUCAUUACCCUGAGAGACUCGGUAUGGCCUUUCUCUAUAAUCCACCAAGACUAUUCCAAGCAGGCUACAAGGUAACAUAGUCAUUAAACAAACUCAUUAUCAAAAUGUCACUUUUUUUUUAAAGAGCCAUUCAUUUUACCUACUCUUCUCCAUGUAGGCUAUUAAGUUCUUCUUGGACCCACGCACAGCUCAAAAGGUCAAAUUUGUGUACCCAAAAGACAAAACAAGUGAUGAACUGAUGAAAUCACAUUUUGAUGUUGAGAAUCUCCCCAAGG